AGCAGGCAUCAUGUUUUCAAAUUCAAUUCCAUGUUGUGCGUUCUUUCACAUCUGCACAUUUGAAACCUGCACAGCAUGUUGAUGGAAUGAGGUUGUUAGACGCCAACUCUUUCGUUGUCUUUCUCCAGGUUCAUUCUAAUUAGCUUCCCCGGGUGCACGUGAAGGACAACGAGAUGUGACCCAACCCCUUCUCUGGUGGGGUUGGAGCCUGUGAGAAGGACUAUGGCGGGCCUCUGGCUUGUAAGACUGAUAACAGUUGGGUUCUGGAGGGUGUGAUCAUCCCCAUGAGGUGCUGUGGACACCCCCAGCAGCCCAACACCUUCAUCUGCGUCUCUGUCUACGUGGACUGGAUCAAGAAGGUUAUGACCUAACCUCCCCUCCAGGACCUGCCUGCCUAGAGAACAGUGCCUGCUCCUGCUCGUGUCU